CCUACGGGGGGCAGCAGUGGGGAAUAUUGGGCAAUGGGCGCAAGCCUGACCCAGCAACGCCGCGUGAAGGAAGAAGGCUUUCGGGUUGUAAACUUCUUUUCUGAGGGACGAAGAAAGUGACGGUACCUCAGGAAUAAGCCACGGCUAACUACGUGCCAGUAGCCGCGGUAAUACGUAGGUGGCAAGCGUUAUCCGGAUUUAUUGGGUGUAAAGGGCGUGUAGGCGGGAAAGCAAGUCAGAUGUGAAAACUCAGGGAUCAACCCUGAGCCUGCAUUUGAAACUGUUUGUCUUGAGUGCUGGAGAGGCAGUCGGAAUGCAGGGUGUAGCGGUGAAAUGCGUAGAUAUACGGAGGAACACCAGUGGCGAAGGCGGAUUGCUGGACAGUAACUGACGCUGAGGCGCGAAAGCGUGGGGAGCAAACAGGAUUAGAUACCCGAGUAGUC
rnacentral:rRNA from 1 species